rnacentral:rRNA from 1 species
AGGACUAACGCUGGCGGCGUGCCUAACACAUGCAAGUCGAACGAAGUAGCAAUACUUAGUGGCAGACGGGUGAGUAACACGUAGUCAACCUGCCCUUCAAUGGGGGAUAACUAGCCGAAAGGUUAGCUAAUACCGCAUACGAUCUCUGAGUGGCAUCACUCGGCGAUGAAAGGAGUAAUCCGUUGAAGGAGGGGACUGCGUCCCAUUAGUUAGUUGGUGGGGUAAUGGCCUACCAAGACUCCGAUGGGUAGCUGGCUUGAGAGAGCGACCAGCCACACUGGAACUGAGACACGGUCCAGACUCCUACGGAGGCAGCAGUGAGGAAUUUUCCGCAAUGGGGGAAACCCUGACGGAGCGACGCCGCGUGUGGGAAGAAGGCCUUGGCGUAACACUGUCGAGGGGACGAUAUUGACGGUACCCCUGGAGGAAGCCCGGCGUAACUACGCGCCAGCAGCCGC